CACGUAGGGCGCAAGCGUUGUCCGGAAUUAUUGGGCGUAAAGAGCUCGUAGGCGGUCCGUCGCGUCGAAUGUGAAAACCCGGGGCUCAACCCCGGGCCUGCAUUCGAUACGGGCGGACUAGAGUUCGGUAGGGGAGACUGGAAUUCCUGGUGUAGCGGUGAAAUGCGCAGAUAUCAGGAGGAACACCGGUGGCGAAGGCGGGUCUCUGGGCCGAUACUGACGCUGAGGAGCGAAAGCAUGGGGGAGCGAACAGG
rnacentral:rRNA from 1 species